rnacentral:rRNA from 1 species
UACAGAGGGUGCGAGCGUUAAUCGGAAUUACUGGGCGUAAAGCGUGCGUAGACGGUUCUGUAAGUCGGAUGUGAAAUCCCCGGGCUCAACCUGGGAAUUGCAUUCGAGACUGCAAAGCUUGGGUGCGGAAGAGGGAAGCGGAAUUUCCGGUGUAGCGGUGAAAUGCGUAGAUAUCGGAAGGAACAUCAGUGGCGAAAGCGGCUUCCUGGUCCAGCACCGACGUCAGGCACGAA